AGUGCUUUUUGCGCGCUAAGACUCAAUUGAAAAAAACAAGGAAAUUUUUUACACACCCCAUUUCCCCCAUUAUUUAAAUAAUGCAAUUACUUAGGGGAUAUGUCUGAAAUUAGUGCGUAAAUGUGUAAGUGCCGGACACGUUAAUUGUAUUCAGUGUUUGCGUUAUGUAAAUUAAAUUGGGUGGUUGUAUAUAAGCGCGACGCCAAUCUUUACGAAAAUAGUUACGAGACAAGCAAUUACCGACAUGUUGAAAAUCACUGCAGUAUUACUCCUUUGCGUUGCUUCGACGAUAGCCGCACCCGUGGCUAAGUCUCAAUAUGCAGCUUCUUCGGUGAUACCAUAUGCUUACGGAGGUUACCCUUCCGGAUAUGCCUCAGUGCCGUACGUUUACCCUCCGUACAGUUACACUUAUCCGAAUUAUGGGUACCCUUACAGCAGUAGCUACGUUAGUUAUCCCUAUCCGUUUUACAAUUCGGGAUACCUGGGAUACCCUUAUUAAAUGUGUAAUUUCUUUGUACAAGGUAUAACAAUCAUGUAAGUUACACUCUGAUUUAUUUAAAGAAACAUUAAAAAAAAAAGUUGUAGUGUAAGUUGAAAAAAUCUGAGAUAGAAAAAGUACAAAUAAAUAUUUAUAAUUAA